AGAUUUAAGUUAUUAAUGCAUGUGGUGGAUGCCUUGGGUAUUCGUGCCGAUGAAGGAAGUGCAAAACUGCUUUAAGCCUCGAGGAGCUGUUAAGAAGCGUUAUUACUCGGGGAUUUCCGAAUGGGGAAACCCGGCCACGUUUAAACGUAGGUCACUCACAAUUGAAAAUUUACCUUUUGGUAAAUCAUAGAUUGUGAAGAGGGAACUCGGCGAACUGAAACAACUUAGUAGCCGGAGGAAAAGAAACAAUCUUGUUAUUUUCUUAGUAGCGGCGAGCGAAAAGAAAUCAGCCCAAACUCAAGUUGUUUUUGGAUUGAGCGGUUUGAUUUAUCAAAUUGUCUUAAUCUAGAAACAAUAUCAAUUGAGGGUAUGGAAAAUCCAUAUCUGCUUUUAGCAGAUGAGAGUUAUAAAUUGUUCUUGUAUAAGAAGUUGCCUGGAAAGGCACGCCAUAGAGAGCAAUAGCCUCGUAUUUUAAACAAGAACAACUCUUUGGGUUUAUCCUGAGUAGCACGGGGCACGUGUAAUCCUGUGCGAAUAUAGCAGGCCCACCUGCGAAGGCUAAAUACAUGAAUACACCGAUAGCGCAUAGUACCGUGAGGGAAAGGUGAAAAGAACCCCUGUUAGGGGAGUGAAAUAGAUCCUGAAACCGCAUGCAGACAAGCUUGUAAAGCCCUACUUGUAGGGUGAUACAGUGCUUAUUGAAGAAUGAUCCAGCGAGUUAAUACUGUAAGCAAGCUUAACCUGUGAUAGCAGGGGAGGCGAAGGGAAACCGAGUUUUAAUAGAGCGAUUAGUUUAUAGUAUUAGACCCGAAGCCAAGUGAGCUAACCAUGACCAGGGUGAAGCCCGUCGAGAGACGGAUGGAGGCCCGAACCGGGGUGCGAGGAAAAGCACUCGGAUGAGCUGUGGUUAGUGGUGAAACGCCUAACAAACUUGGCGAUAGCUGGUUCUCCCCGAAACAUAUAUAGGUAUGACCUUUGCAUUUAAAGAUCGGCGAGGUAGAGAUACUGAAAGGGGAUGGGGGGCGUAAGCCUACCCACCUCUACCAAACUCCGAAUGCGUCGAUUGUGUGCAAGGAGUCAGUGAUGCGGGGCAAUCUCGUGUCACAAAAGGGUAACAACCCAGACCAUCGGCUAAGGUCCCUAAUUUUUUGCUAAGUGGGCAAGGAAGUGAAAUCGUUAAGACAGCUAGGAGGUUGGCUCAGAAGCAGCCAUCCUUUAAAGAAAGCGUAACAGCUCACUAGUUAAACGAUUUUGCACCGACGAUUUAACGGGGCUUAAGCAAAAAACCGAAGCCGUGGCUUCGUCGCAAGAUGAAGGGUAGGGGAGCUUUGAUACAGCUGUGAAGUCUCGUCGUGAGGCGAGGUGGAGCGGUAUCAAGUGAGUAUGCUGGAAUGAGUAACGAGAUCCAUGUGAAAACCAUGGACGCCGAAUAUCUAAGGUUUCCUCCGCCAUGCCAGUCAGCGGAGGGUUAGUCGAUCCUAAGGUGAGGCUGAAAAGCGUAACCGAUGGAUAGCAGGUUAAUAUUCCUGCACUGCUAUAAAUUCGUUUUUACCGAUGGGGUGACGAAGUAUGACAGAUCGGGCCCGAUAAGGAUUCGGGUUCCAAAAGCAAGGUAGUCCUUAUAGGAAAAUCCGUAGGGGCGUUUUUACCCGAGUUUAGGAAAAGCCUAUCGCAAGAUGGGUAAUUCGAUUGGUUCAAAUUUCCAAGAAAAACCUCUAGGGAGAGUUUAUAGUAUUCGUACCGCAAACCGACACAGGUAGAUUGGUAGAGUAUACCAAGGCGAGCGAGAGAAUGGUGGUUGAGGAACUAAGCAAAUUACAUCCGUAACUUAGGGAAAAGGAUGCCCAUCGGGCGCAAGCUUUGAUGGGGGCACAGAAAUGGCUCGGGCGGCUGUUUAACAAAAACACAGGUCUCUGCUAAACCAGUAAUGGGAUGUAUAGGGACCGACGCGUGCCCAGUGCCCGUAGGUUAAGAUUGGGGGUGACUUCUGCUUUGCAGAACGAGCUUCUGAUUUAAGCCCGGGUGAACGGCAGCAGUAACUAUAACUGUUCUAUGGUAGCGUAAUCCCUUGCCGGGUAAGUUCCGGCCCGCACGAAACGCGUAACGAUCUGAGCGCUCUCUUAACCACUAACUCGGUGAAAUUGAACUACCGGUGAAGAUGCCGGUUACUCAUUGUUGGACAGAGAGACCCCGUGGAGCUUUACUGUAACUUGGUAUUGGUAAUCGGUUUUAGUUGUGUAGUGUAGGAGGGAGUUCACCCUUAAACCGGUGAACGUCAAUGAAACACCUCUCUUCUAAUAUCGAGAGCCUCACUACUUCGCAUGAUCUGCGAAGGGGACAAUGCCUGGUGGGCAGUUUAUCUGGGGCGGAUUCCUGCUAAAAGGUAACGCAGGAGCUCAAAGGUUCUCUUAACGCCGAUGGAAAUGGCGUUGUAAGUGCAAAGAUAUAUGAGAGCUUGACUGCAAGACUUACAAGUCGCGCAGAUACGAAAGUAGGACUUAGUGAUCUUCCGAGUGCUUAGUGGUAGGCCCGGAACUUAUCGGAUAAAAGCUACCCCGGGGAUAACAGGCUGAUCUUACCCGAGCGUCCACAGCGGCGGUAAGGUUUGGCACCUCGAUGUCGUCUCGUCAUAUCCUGGAGCUGGAGCAGGUUCCAAGGGUCCGGCUGUUCGCCGGUUAAAAUGGCGCGUUAGAUGGGUUCAGAACGUCGUGAGACAGUUCGGUCCAUUUCCACAAUGAGUGUGGAAUCCUGAGAGGACUCAUUCCUAGUACGAGAGGACCGGAAUGACAUAACCUCUGGUGUACCAGUUGUUCCGCCAGGAGCACCGCUGGGUAGCUAUGUUGUGAGUUGAUAAAUGCUGAAAGCAUCUAAGCAUGAAGCACACCUCAAAAUUAGGGUUCAUUUCGCUUUACGCGAACGCAACUCCUGGGAGAAUACCAGGUUGAUAGGCUGCAGGUGUAAGUGUAGUAAUACAUUCAGCCGAGCAGUACUAAUGUUAGCGAGCUUAAAUUUAUCUAUU
rnacentral:rRNA from 1 species